GGCAGAUUCCCGAGCUUCACAGGACGGUGUCAAAGUCUGCCCCAGGAAGUGCUGCAGAGAUUAGUGUCUGGUGCCCCUCCCCUGCAGUACUCCUCACCCAGUUAAGGCAGUAUUAACUGGGGCAAGGGACAGUCACUGCCCUUCAUGUUGCUUCAUCCUGUUUAUAGCCUGUAUUUAUCAUCUUCGUCUCUUUUCACAAUCUUUCUUCUGGCUGCGGAUCGUGAUCUGUC